rnacentral:rRNA from 1 species
CGUAGGCGGCGCGGUAAGUCACUUGUGAAAUCUCUGAGCUUAACUCAGAACGGCCAAGUGAUACUGCAGUGCUAGAGUGUGGAAGGGGCAAUCGGAAUUCUUGGUGUAGCGGUGAAAUGCGUAGAUAUCAAGAGGAACACCUGAGGUGAAGACGGGUUGCUGGGCCAACACUGACGCUGAGGCGCGAAGCCAGGGAGCAAACG